AGUGAACGCUGGCGGUAGGCCUAACACAUGCAAGUCGAACGGCAGCACAGUAAGAGCUUGCUCUUACGGGUGGCGAGUGGCGGACGGGUGAGGAAUACAUCGGAAUCUACUUUUUCGUGGGGGAUAACGUAGGGACACUUACGCUAAUACCGCAUACGACCUACGGGUGAAAGCAGGGGAUCUUCGGACCUUGCGCGAUUGAAUGAGCCGAUGUCGGAGUAGCUAGUUGGUGGGGUAAAGGCCCACCAAGGCGACGAUCCGUAGCUGGUCUGAGAGGAUGAUCAGCCACACUGGAACUGAGACACGGUCCAGACUCCUACGGGAGGCAGCAGUGGGGAAUAUUGGACAAUGGGCGCAAGCCUGAUCCAGCCAUACCGCGUGGGUGAAGAAGGCCUUCGGGUUGUAAAGCCCUUUUGUUGGGAAAGAAAAGCAGCAGGUUAAAACCCCGCUGUUCUGACGGUACCCAAAGAAUAAGCAACGGCUAACUUCGUG
rnacentral:rRNA from 1 species